rnacentral:rRNA from 1 species
AUGCUACGACAAAGUUGCACCCACGAGGCGACCAUGGUGCUGGAACCAGCUACGACCAGUGGCGGAGACAGGCCUGGGGCAGCUAGGGCUAUAGCCCCAGACAAUAAAGAGACAAGCAAUACAGUUAUACAGAGGCUACAAUUAAGCUGUAUGUGUGUGGAAGAGGUGAUCAAAGAUGGAGCUGCAGGAUCAGGUAUGGUUUUACGUGAUGACAAGGGUGGUGUUAUUUUUGCGGCUUACCGACGCAUUUAUUACUGCAAUGAGGCGCUGGAAGCGCAGUUACAUGCGAUUAUGGAAGGAAAAGCGAUGAAUUUUGAUGCUUCGUCAAACGAGGAGUAUAGACCGACAGAGCUUGAUAAAAUGAUUGAAGCCGAGUUCUUUAGUUUGUCACAUUCAAACGAAGAAGUGGAUAUGAUCAUGCUAUGA